rnacentral:misc_RNA from 1 species
AAAUGCGCUAAGUAAUGUGCAUUGCAGAAUUCAGUGAAUCAUCGAAUCUUUGAACGCACAUUGCGCCCGCCAGCACUCUGGCGGGCAUGCCUGUUCGAGCGUCAUUUCAACCCUCAGAACCCCUUGCGGGAUCUGGCGUUGGGGAUUGGCAUCCAGCCAGCCCCGAAAUCUAGUGGCGGUCCCUCCGCGACCUCCCCUGUGCAGUAGCGAUACCUCGCAGCGGGACAGCGGUCUGACCACGCCGUAAAACCCCCAACUUCUCAAGGUUGACCUCGAAUCAGGUAGGAAUACCCGCUGAACUUAAGC